AGUCAAUAGAUACCCGGGUAGUCCACGCCGUAAACGAUGAGUACUAGGUGUAGGAGGUAUCGACUCCUUCUGUGCCGCAGUUAAACACAAUAAGUACUCCGCCUGGGAAGUACGGUCGCAAGAUUAAAAACUCAAAGGAAUUGACGGGGGCCCGCACAAGCAGCGGAGCAUGUGGUUUAAUUCGAAGCAACGCGAAGAACCUUACCUAGACUUGACAUCUCCUGAAUAGUGUAGAGAUACAUGAAGCCCUUCGGGGCAGGAAGACAGGUGGUGCAUGGUUGUCGUCAGCUCGUGUCGUGAGAUGUUGGGUUAAGUCCCGCAACGAGCGCAACCCUUAUUACUAGCUGCUACCAUUAAGUUGAGCACUCUAGUGAGACUGCCCGGGGUUAACCGGGAGGAAGGCGGGGAGUGACGUCAAAUCAUCAUG
rnacentral:rRNA from 1 species